GUCUCAGGUUUCUCCAAUCAGAUGAACAAAUUAACAUAGUUGUAAGAUUUUGCAUCUGAUUCAUUGUAAUGAAUAAUGUAGUUCCACAGGAAUGAUUGGCAAUCUAAAAAAGCAAAAAAUAAAAUAAAUAAACAGAUUAGAUUAUUAAUUAAACAUGUCCAGUGACUUGGCAUGUCUGAGAAAUUGACCUUUGAGAGCCAAAAAAUACCAUUGCACAAUAACCAAUGCACUAUAAAUCUAGGGGAAUCACUAUAAAGUAUAAUUUGACCAAUCCCCCACCAUUGGGU